UACAGAGGGUGCAAGCGUUGUUCGGAAUUAUUGGGCGUAAAGGGCGCGUAGGCGGUGUGUCAAGUCAGGCGUGAAAGCCCCGGGCUCAACCUGGGAACCGCGCUUGAGACUGGCACGCUCGAGUUCGGGAGAGGAUGGUGGAAUUCCCAGUGUAGAGGUGAAAUUCGUAGAUAUUGGGAAGAACACCGAUGGCGAAGGCAGCCAUCUGGACCGACACUGACGCUGAGGCGCGGAAGCGUGGGGAGCAAACAGG
rnacentral:rRNA from 1 species